rnacentral:rRNA from 1 species
UCCUGAGGUAUUAACUAGACCUGUUUCCUUCCGAUUCAGCAGUUUACAGCCCGAAGGGCUUCUUGCUGCACGCGGCAUUGCUGGAUCCGGCUUUCGCCCAUUGUCCAAGAUUCCCCACUGCUGCCGCCCGUAGGA